rnacentral:rRNA from 1 species
UGAGGAAUAUUGGUCAAUGGGCGCAAGCCUGAACCAGCCAUGCCGCGUGCAGGAAGACGGUCCUAUGGAUUGUAAACUGCUUUUAUUCGGGAAUAAACCACAUUACGUGUAGUGUGCUGAAUGUACUGAAGGAAUAAGGAUCGGCUAACUCCGUGCCAGCAGCCGUGGUAAUACAGAGGGUGCAAGCGUUAUCCGGAAUCAUUGGGUUUAAAGGGUCCGCAGGCGGUCUUAUAAGUCAGUGGUGAAAGCCUACAGCUCAACUGUAGAACUGCCAUUGAUACUGUAAGACUUGAAUUCGAUCGAAGUGGGCGGAAUAUGACAUGUAGCGGUGAAAUGCUUAGAUAUGUCAUAGAACACCGAUAGCGAAGGCAGCUCACUAGGUCUGGAUUGACGCUCAGGGACGAAAGCAUGGGGAGCAAACA